UCCAUGGGAGAGAUAACUAGGAGCUUUCUCUCUUGGGCUAAAGGCUGAUAAAAGCUAGGGAGGCCGGAAGCUUGGAUUCAGAACAGGUUGGGAGGCUCUGCUGUGAAAGAAGAGCAAGAAAGGACUCUGCUGCUAUUAAGCCGAGUCCCAACAAGAAGCCCUGAUGAAGGAGGGUGGGGGACCUGGAAAAGAAGCCCAGGAAGCUGAGAGUGUCAUGGAAGGCUGCUAGAGGCAGGGAAAACCCUGAGUAUUGGCAUUAAAAGGUGAAGGCUACAAGAAAUGGUGAUUCGCUCUCCUGUCCUCCUGGAAGAGGGCUCAAUACAGAGCUGAGACCAUAGGAGUACCAAGCUGGCAGGAGAUGAGGGGUUCUCACUGUGGGAAGUCCAAGACAAGGAUUGGUGAAGUACUGGGAGUUGAAUGGGAGUAGGAGCACUAGAACUGAUAGUUCCUUGUGUGGUCUACAUUUGAAGAUACCAGGUAGAACAUGUGGAUCUUAGGAACCACCAUGAAGAGGGGCUGAAGGGACUGGAACUUUGGAUAUAGUGUAAUGGGGACUUGGGAGUGGAGUACCCUGAAGGGGUUUGGAACUAACGUGAUUUGGCUGGAGGGCAGAGUCACUGGAAGAGGCGAAGAACUGCCAGGCUGGAGUGAUCCUCAGCGGGGAAUGAUGAGGCGGAAAGAGCUGCUAUGUCGUGCCCUGCCACCCUGGUGGAGGAAUGCAUGAGUCUCCAGUUCUCUGGGAAUCCGAGGCUGCUCUAAGGAAAUCCCUGAACCAGUUCAAGAGAGCUCCUCAGUGAGGAAGUUUUAAAUAGGACAUUUGGGGAUGUUUGACCUACUGGAGAUUGUGAGCCCAUAGAUCACUUAUAGCAACAUGUUUAAUUCAUAUGUAACUUGAGAGAAAUCAUUUAAUGCUUCUGU